UGGCCAUUGUCAACAAGACCGUGUGGAAC
rnacentral:piRNA from 1 species